rnacentral:rRNA from 1 species
UACAGGGGGUGCAAACGUUGCUCGGAAUCAUUGGGCGUAAAGCGCACGUAGGCGGUUCGUUAUGUCGGAUGUGAAAGCCCCUUGGCUUAACCGAGGAAGUGCAUCCGAAACUGGCGAGCUAGAGUACUAAAGAGGAUCGCGGAAUUCCCGGUGUAGAGGUGAAAUUCGUAGAUAUCGGGAGGAACACCGGUGGCGAAGGCGGCGAUCUGGGUAGAUACUGACGCUGAGGUGCGAAAGCGUGGGGAGCAAACAGG